rnacentral:rRNA from 1 species
UAUCNCAUAUAAGAGGUCUUGCCUGCCCAGUGACUACAAGUUAAACGGCCGCGGUAUUUUGACCGUGCAAAGGUAGCGCAAUCACUUGUCUUUUAAAUGAAGACCUGUAUGAAUGGUAGAACGAGGGCUUAACUGUCUCCCUACUCCAGUCAAUGAAAUUGAUCUGCCCGUGCAGAAGCGGACAUAAAACUACAAGACGAGAAGACCCUUUGGAGCUUAAGAUAAAAAAUCAACUAUGUCAAAAGGCCCUAAACUAAAUAGACAGUGAUUUAAAUCUUCGGUUGGGGCGACCACGGGAUAUAAUAAAACUCCCAUGCGGACUGGGACAACCCCCCAAAUUAAGAGAGACAUCUCUAAAUCGCAGAAUUUCUGACCAUAAAGAUCCGGCCAACGCCGAUCAACGGACCAAGUUACCCUAGGGAUAACAGCGCAAUCCUCUCCCAGAGUCCAUAUCGACGAGAGGGUUUACGACCUCGAUGUUGGAUCAGGACAUCCUAAUGGUGCA